rnacentral:rRNA from 1 species
GACGAACCGAGCGAACGUUGUUCGGAAUAACUGGGCUUAAAGGGCGCGUAGGCGGGCCGCCAAGUUCGAGGUGAAAUCCUCCGGCUUAACCGGAGAACUGCCUCGAAUACUGGAGGCCUCGAGGCGGGUAGGGGCACGCGGAACUGUGGGUGGAGCGGUGAAAUGCGUUGAUAUCCACAGGAACUCCGGUGGCGAAGGCGGCGUGCUGGACCCGAUCUGACGCUGAGGCGCGAAAGCCAGGGGAGCGAACGGG